CGCGCAGGCGGGUCGAUAAGUCAGAGGUGAAAUCCUACAGCUCAACUGUAGAACUGCCUUUGAUACUGCUGAUCUUGAGUAUGGAAGAGAGAGACGGAAUUCCAGGUGUAGUGGUGAAAUACGUAGAUAUCUGGAAGAACACCAGUUGCGAAGGCGGUCUCUUGGUCCAAUACUGACGCUGAGGCGCGAAAGCGUGGGUAGCAAACA
rnacentral:rRNA from 1 species